CAAAACAGUAUGGCCAUUGUAUUUCAAACAUUAGAGCAAUUGUUUAGUACAUGUGGUGCAACCCUAAAUUUCCAUGUCAGAACAUGGUGCCAACUCUGAGUCUCUGCAAAUUAUGAUACUGUAGGCAUGCACAUGUUUAAACAAGUGCUUUCCUAUCUUGGGGUUAUAUAAUAGUAUUUAUAUAUACUGUUUGGAAAAGCCAGACAACACUCUAAAGUGAUAAAAAGGAACCGAAAACAUAUGCUUAUUUUCUACACCAUUGUACAUUUGAAACAAAGCAAAACCUCUUAUGGUGCUUGGCUCUUUUUCUGAGUAUAUUGGCAUUUGUUAGAUAUAAAUGCUAAUAAUGCUUAUUCUUGUAUGUUGUAAAAAAAAGCUGUAGGUAGGAAUAAAGAGGCCUAGUAAAACAAAUAAGGAUAAACAAAUAAUAAUUAAUUGCCUGCAGUUGAAAGUACAUUGCGCUAUAGCUUGCAUUACAAUAGAGCACUCAUAAACCUGUGACUCCGAACAUCUCUACAUUACAGAUUUAGGCAGCCAAAAUAUUACUGUAACUGCAUUUCAACAGGCUACCUAGUGACUUAACCUACUACUGAGAGUCAGGAGAAUAUAACUCAUCCUCCACAAUGCCUAGACAUCACCAGCUUUAUUUCUGAGGAUAUCCUGGAAAAUGGAACUGUGAAAACAUUCCAAGAGCUUCAGUGGGAUUAUUGUCUAUGACAAGAUCCUCUUUGACAAUACACAGACCUUGGUGCACAUAAUACCUGAUAAAAAUCAAACCUCACCAUUGGGACCACUCUGCUUGCUCUGCACAGUAUUUCAAAUGGAUUUAUAUUAUGUGGAAUCAGCACCAUCAGUGACGAAAACUAGCUCACAGCUUCUCACCCACACGCUCAGUUUAAAUGUUCAUUGUACUUUCAAACAUGUUUUCUUACUUUUCAAAAAAGGUUUCCCAUGUGCCAUAAUACAUAGCCCUGGAAGAUGCUGUUCAUUGUCCUCUAUUUCCCAUUAUGGACAAAACAGAUUACCCUCUGAGAUACUAUUUCCGAUUUUCUUUUAAUUAUAAAAAUAAAAAUAUGUUUUCCUAUAAUGUUUAUUAUUCUUCUUGGAAUAUGGAAACAAUGGCUGUAUAGAAUAGUUAAGACACUGUGCAAGAUUAAUUGAUUGCGGGAUCAGCAGUAUACUCAAAGAGCAUUAGUUUUCCCCAAGGUAAGAAUAUUACAAAUUAGAAGAGGGCUGUAACAGGCAGUGCUGGCCCUUGAAACCGAGCUCCAUGUACACCCCCACACCACUGCUGAUUUCAGUCUAAGCCUUAUGCACUGGAGCACUGUGGAGGAUGAUCAUGUGACCAGUGUAAUUCCUUAAUGCAUGUGUGACCAGAUAGCUUAAGAAAAGAAGAGCAUCUCCCUCCAGUGAAAAAUAUUUGUUAGACUGGUAGCUGCUGAGAAAUAAUCUAUGUGAGAAACUUAAAAGUUGCUGUUAAAUCACCUCUGCUUGAAAAACUCUUGCGAGUUACCUCUCUGGGAAUCAUCAAACUUGCCAUUUUGGAGAAUACAGAUCACUGUCAGCCAUAGGUACGGCCUCAUGGAAAAUGAGAGACACUGCAGUGAAUCAGCCCCCAGCCAUCACAGGAGAGACUUCUGAAGAGACCUUCAGCACAGCUCUGUGGAGACACCGCCUGUGCUGGGGUGAGGAACCCCCCUGGCAGAAGUGAGUGAGUGCAUGAACGAGGGGAGGAGUACGACUGCCUGUCAGAUUCACGAGGCAUGGAAGAGGGCCACCAGCAGCGAAUGGCUUCAGCAAAGUCAAGCCACUUCUUUCCAAGGCCUCAGACAUUAGUCCACGCCGAGACUGACCAUCUGAGUUCCUUGGAAGUGAAUGUAAAUGCCUACAUGAAGACCAAGAAAGCUGGACUUUUUGUGAAACAUUAAUAAUUAUAUGGUGGUAGCACUCAGGAACUGCUGACCAUGGAGUAAACACAGUUUCUGCCUGAAGGCUGGAAGGUACAGUUCUGUACAAAAAAUACUUCAUAAAAGUUGUAUUACCAUCAGUGUGGUCUUGCUCUGCAAAUCUACUUAAUCUAUGUAUUUAGAGUCAUGUGCGCUUUAGUGACAUAAUAAAGGUCAGUUAAUUCUUUUCCCUA